GAACUAAGUGUGGUAAAAAAAGUAAAAUACCUAGGGGUUCACUUGUCAGCGAAAAAUUUGAAUCUAUUUAAAGACAACUAUGAAAAAUGUUGGCUGGAAAUCAAAAAAGAUUUGGAAAUCUGGUCAAGAUUGAAACUUUCCUUGUUGGGUCGAAUUGCAGCUAUAAAAAUGAAUGUAUUGCCGAAAAUGUUAUUUUUGUUUCAAACCCUACAGAUUGUGGACAGAGUGGAAUGUUUUGGAAAGUGGCAGAAGGAUAUAUCUAAGUUUGUUUGGCAGGGCAAAAGCCCCGGAUAAAGUUUAAAAUACUAACUGAUUUGAAAGAAAGAGGGGGGUUUGCCCUGCCGGACUUGAGAAUAUAUUAUGAAGCUGCGGCCUUCUGCUGGAUGAAAGAUUGGUUACUUCUUGAGAACACUGAUGUUCUAGAUCUGGAAGGGUUUGAUAAUGCUUUUGGCUGGCAUGCAUAUUUGUGGUACGACAAGGUAAAGGUUCAUAAAAUGUUCAAAAAUCAUAUUGUUAGAAAAUCAAUAUUUAUGGUCUGGACAAAAUACAAGGACUUAUUAGAGGGUAAGACUCCGAGGUGGCUUUCACCAGCAGAGGCCAAGGCCCGGAAAAAACCUAAUAUGGAGGUUGGUUGGCUGAAAUAUGGGGAAAUUAUAGAAAAAGUAGGAGAAACUUGGAGGCUGCAGAGUUAUGAAAAAUUAAAGAAUAAGGUGCAAAAUUGGCUUCACUAUGCUCAAAUUCAAGAGGUUUUCAAGUUGGACAAAAGAAUAGGUUUCCAGGUGGAAAAAUCGAAACUAGAGACAGAAUUGUUGGAACCAAAGACCAAGGUACUUUCGAGAAUGUAUAUCUUGCUGCUUAAAUGGAACACUCAGGAUGAGACAGUCAAAUCAGCCAUGAUAAAAUGGGCUCAGGACAUUGGGUACAACAUUAUGUUUGAAGACUGGGAAAGGUUAUGGACCACUGGUAUGAAAUUCACGGCAUGUAAUGCCUUGAAAGAGAAUAUUAUGAAAAUGAUAUACAGGUGGUACAUGACCCCAGUCAAGCUAGCUAAGAUAUAUCAUUUGUCUGAUAAUAAAUGUUGGAAAUGUAAGGAGGCUGAAGGGACAUUCUUUCACCUCUGGUGGACUUGCCCAAAAGUGAAGGCCUUCUGGGAAAUGAUCUAUAAUGAGUUAAAAAAGUGUUUAAGUACACUUUUCCCAAGAAACCAGAGGCCUUCCUACUGGGCAUUGUCGGUCAGAAGGUGUUAAAGAAGGAUAGAACCUUUUUAUGUAUGCAACUACAGCAGCAAGAAUUCUUAUCGCAAAACACUGGAAGACUCAAGAUUUACCCACACUGGAAGAGUGGCAGACGCAAUUGAUGGGCUACAUGGAAUUGGCUGAGAUGACUGCCAGGAUCCGAGAUUUGGAGGAAGAAGCAAUGGAGGAGGAUUGGAAAAAAUUUAAAGAUUAUUUACAAAAAUUUUAUAAGUUAUAUGAAUGUUAAGAUUUCGCAUGAUUAGGGAAAUUCAGCUCCAGCAAUAAGAUUAAGGUAUGGGAAACUAAGCUAUUUUAAUGAAAAGACUAACGUUUAAAAGAACAUUAUAUAUAUUAUUAGUGCAAAUUGACAAUAAGCAUUUUAAACGUAAAUCACAAGUAUUUGAAAGAACAAAAGAAUGCACGAAAUAAGGUUAUAAUUUGCUGAAAAAUUUUAUUGUAAAGAACGCAAGGUGAGGGGGACGGGGGGAAGUCCGGUUGGUUAUGGAAAAAUGCUUUGAAAAGAUGAUUUUCUUCUUUUUCUUUCUUUUUUCUGUUAUUUCUUUGUAUAUCUGACCUUGUAUUUCUAUCUGGAAAAAUGC